ensembl:lncRNA novel transcript
GUGGGAAGAGGCGUGCCUAUAAAUAAGCCUCAGGGAGACGCCAGCAGCCUUGCUCCUGCAGCAAGCACUGAGGUGCUAGGCGCCUGGGCUUUCCCUUCCCUUUUCCUGAAAUACAGACUGGCUUCUCUUUGGAUAUUGGCAUCCAGCCUUCUGGCAAACUGGGAUUCAGAAUGGCAGAAUAUAGACGCCGUGAAUCUAGUGUCAAUAACAGACCGAUACAGGGGACAACUCAAGCUGAAGGAGGUUCGCCGUGCAGAAAGGGCUUGCUUCUCGCCAAGCGCAGUAGCCAAGGUUUGAAAUGCAGCUUCUGAACCCUUACCCGGUGGUUUCUCCUCUGCUCCCGUGGUGGUCUGGGCAAUGCCAACUUGUCCUAUUGGGUGGAUGAUGUGGUGAUUUUGCUGCAGCUUUUCUCAAUCUCAAUAUGUUUUGUAGAAGUAAAGGAUGGCAUAAUUUAUCACAGUUGAACAUGCGCUUUGUUCAAUGACAGGGUAAUUAGACAUUCUUUCAGCAGACACAUUAAAUAUACACUUAUGCAUUAAAGUGCUGCGUCUCAGAUCA